ACCUAGUUAAUUCUGCUAGUAGUUAUAUGCUUGUCUUAAAGAUUAAGCCAUGCAUAUCUAAGUAUAAGUAAUUAUACUAUGAAACUGCAAAUAGCUUAUUAAAUCAGUUAUUGUUUAUUUAAUAGUACCUUACUACUUAGAUAACUAUAGUAAUUCUAGAGCUAAUACAUGCUAAAAACCCUAACUUUAGAAGGGGUGUAUUUAUUAGAUAAAAAACCAACGCCCUUUAGGGCUUCUUAGUAAUUUAUAAUAACUUUAUAGAUUACAUGGCCUUACGCUAGCAAUAGUUUAUUUAAAUUUCUGCCCUAUUAACUUUUAAUAGUAAGGUAUUAGCUUACUAUAGUUUCAACGGGUAACAGGGAAUUAGGGUUUAAUUCUAAAGAGGGAGCCUAAGAAACAGCUACUACAUCUAAGGAAGGCAGCAGGCGCGUAAAUUACCCAAUCCUAACACAGGGAGGUAGUAAUAAUAAAUACUAAUACAGGGCUCUUUUAGGUCUUAUAAUUAGAAUAAGUACAAUUUAAACCUCUUAACGAGGAAUAAUUAAAGGGCAAGUCUGGUGCUAGCAGCUANNNNNNNNNNNNNNNNNNNNCGAGAAAUUAAAGUUUUUAGGUUCUAGGGGGAGUAUAGUCGCAAGGCUAAAACUUAAAGAAAUUAAUAGAAGGGCACUACUAGGCGUAGAGCCUGCAGCUUAAUUUAACUUAACACAGGGAAACUUACUAGGUCUAGAUAAAAUAAGGAUUAACAGAUUAAGAGCUCUUUCUUAAUUUUUUAGGUAGUGGUGCAUGGCUGUUCUUAGUUGGUAGAGUGAUUUAUCUGCUUAAUUGUAAUAAUAAACGAGACCUUAACCUACUAAAUAGCUAGGCUAGCUUUAGCUAGUUGCUGGCUUCUUAGAGGGACUAUCAGCUCAAGCUAAUAGAAGUUUAAGGCAAUAACAGGUCUGUAAUGCCCUUAGAUGUUCUAGGCCGCACGCGCGCUACACUAACAGAGCUAACGAGUUCUUUACCUUAACUAAAAGGUCUAGGUAAUCUUAUUAAACUCUAUUAUGCUAGGGAUAGAGUAUUGUAAUUAUUGCUCUUUAACAAGGAAUACCUAGUAAGCGCGUGUUAUUAGCAUGCAUUAAUUACGUCCCUGCCCUUUAUACACACCGCCCGUUGCUACUACUAAUUAAAUGGCUUAGUAAGGCCUUUAGACUAGCUUAGGGAGGUUAGUAACAACUAUCCUAAGCCAGAAAGUUUGUUAAACUUAGUUAUUUAGAGGAAGUAAAAGUUAUAAUAAGGUUUCUGUAGGUAAACCUGCGGAAG
rnacentral:rRNA from 1 species